AUUGAACGCUGGCGGCAUGCCUAACACAUGCAAGUCGAACGAGUGGCGGACGGGUGAGUAAUGUCUGAGAAACUGCCUGAUGGGGGGGGAUAACUACUGGAAACGGUAGCUAAUUCCGCAUUCCAUCGGAUUUUCCCAGAUGGGAUUAGCUAGUAGGUGGGGUAAAGGCUCACCUGGGCGACGAUCCCUCGCUGGUCUGAGAGGAUGACCAGCCACACUGGAACUGAGACACGGUCCAGACUCCUACGGGAGGCAGCAGGGGGGAAUAUUGCACAAUGGGCGCAAGCCUGAUGCAGCCAUGCCGCGUGUAUGAAGAAGGCCUUCGGGUUGUAAAGUACUUUCAGCGGGGAGGCGUUACCCGCAGAAGAAGCACCGGCUAACUCCGUGCCAGCCGCCGCGGUAAUUC
rnacentral:rRNA from 1 species